AGACUUGACUGGCCCCUCUCCUGCGUCGUCGUUUCUCCGAUCCGAAACCCUAGGCCGGGGCGCUGCCGACGGAUGCCGCGUCGAGUCCAUCGCCGACCUCCUCGUCCAAGCUGAGGAACCUCCUGUGGGCUACUUCCAAGCAUGAUGUGUACGUGAUGCAGAACUAUUCUGUGAGGCACUGGUGGUCCUUACUCCGGAGAGGAAAAGAAGUGCUCAACGUGGCAUGCCCAAAUCAGGAUAUGCAGGGAGGUCGGCCCUUGUACAGGGUGAAGAUCAGCACCAUGACGGUGAAAGACAACCUCCUGGCGGCUGGUGGUUUCCAUGGGGAGCUGAUCUGCAAUGCAUCCCACCGCCGAUCCAUAUCCAGAUCAGCUGCGUCGUCGGUUCCGCACACAGGCCAAGGGAAAUGACUACCGUUCCAGGGUCUCCGGUCUGGGAGCUCGUGAAGAAGAACAACUACUUCUUGAUCAAGCAGUUCGGCAACAGCAACACCAAGGUGCAGUUCAGCAAGGAGCCCAACAACCUCUACAAUAUCCAGUCCUACAAGUUCUCGGGCUUGGCGAACAGCAAGACUGUGGCGGUCCAGCCAUCAGCGGGAGAGGACAAGGCUGUUGUCCUGUCCAUGACCAAGACCAAGAAGCAGAACACCCCUGCCAAGCUCCAGCACAAGACUCUGAUGCGCAAGGAGUUCCGCAAGAUGGCCAAGUCUGUCAAGAACCAGGUAUUAACUCCAGAGUUUUGUACUUGAAUUGCCCUUAUGCUUGGCUUCUAAGCUACAACUGUAAGUCACGGCUUGUCUCUGCUUCCUCCUUGAGUUCAGAUUUGUGGCAUGGCAUGCUUGAUUUUUUGGUGGACUUGUGUCCCUGAUGAUGCACCGUUGUUGCACUGCCAACCAUCAGAUGCAGUAGCUGCUCCUGCUUGCUACUCCGCUGCCGCCACUCGUUGUUUUGCUACUGCUCCUGCUAAUUAGGCACUGCUGCUGCUCCUAAGCACUGCUCGUAGAUGCUGCUACUUGCCGCUGUUGAUUCCUCCUACAGCCUGGCAUCUGCCAUUGUAACUUCAUGCUGAUGUAACAUGUGAAUCUGUUGGUCCUGCUUAUUGUCUUUAAAGAAGUCAAUGUACCUACCUUAUUUUGUGCUCUGUUAUUAUCUUUGAUCAGUAUCAGUUGUGUCUCUUAGAGAGACACUCCUACCUUUUCUGACUUGAGUUGUUAACUAUUGUUCCAUACUUCUGUUAGCUACAAUAAAAAAAUCUUUGAAUUUGGUAUUGCAUGAGUUUUUACUACUGCUUACACAGAGAGUAUUUGCUACUACUAAAACAGCGAUUUUGUAUGCACUGCUACCUGAUGAGUGCUUUCUUUGUAAUAUUUCACCUUGGCAUGCAUAUGUUUGUUCUGUUUGAACUUUGCAUGACAUGACAUAAUUAUUUCCAGUGUUUUUCUCAACUUAUUUUCAUUGACACUUGAUAUAUACUUAGCUUGUACUCCCUCCGUUCCGAGUUACUUGUCUUGGAUUUAUCUAGAUACAUCCGUAUCUAGAUUCAUUUUAGUGCUAGAUACAUCCGUAUCUAGACAAAUCUAAGACAAGUAAUUCAGAACGGAGGGAGUACUUGAAGCCGUGGGUUAAUGUGGUGAUUUUGUUCUACUUGGAUGCAUUGGUACCCCCAUAAUCGAGUGCAUGGAUGCAAUGGCAAGAAGAUCAUGGCUGUGCGCAUCAUCAAGCACACCACGGAGAUAAUCGACCUCCUCACCGAUGGUGAAGGUUUUCAAAUGUUGAAGGAGGACAAUAGGAACUUCUGUGAUGUAUUGUCAUCUAUUUUCUUUUCUUUGAUGUAGAAUAGUUUUGUUUGGCACUUACUGGUUCCUUGGACAUAAAGAUAUGUAUUGCUAGAAUGAAUGCAUGUAAAGAUAUUUUGGGCUCCUAUAAUAUUCCAUGUUGCUUUGAAAAUGUAUCGGAACUGGGCUAGGCCCAAGAUAACUUGUAGUGUGAUGUGUUGUAAUGUCAAUGGCAUAAUAAAAGAAGUUGGAUUGGAU
rnacentral:rRNA from 1 species